AGUGAACGCUGGCGGUAGGCCUAACACAUGCAAGUCGAACGGCAGCACAGAGGAGCUUGCUCCUUGGGUGGCGAGUGGCGGACGGGUGAGGAAUACAUCGGAAUCUACUCUGUCGUGGGGGAUAACGUAGGGAAACUUACGCUAAUACCGCAUACGACCUACGGGUGAAAGCAGGGGAUCUUCGGACCUUGCGCGAUUGAAUGAGCCGAUGUCGGAUUAGCUAGUUGGCGGGGUAAAGGCCCACCAAGGCGACGAUCCGUAGCUGGUCUGAGAGGAUGAUCAGCCACACUGGAACUGAGACACGGUCCAGACUCCUACGGGAGGCAGCAGUGGGGAAUAUUGGACAAUGGGCGCAAGCCUGAUCCAGCCAUACCGCGUGGGUGAAGAAGGCCUUCGGGUUGUAAAGCCCUUUUGUUGGGAAAGAAAUCCAGCCGGCUAAUACCUGGUUGGGAUGACGGUACCCAAAGA
rnacentral:rRNA from 1 species